UACGUAGGGUGCGAGGCGUUGUCCGGAAUUAUUGGGCGUAAAGGGCUCGUAGGCGGUUUGUCGCGUCGGGAGUGAAAUCCACUGGACUUAACUGGUGGCUUGCUUUCGAUACGGGCAGACUGGAGGUAUGCAGGGGAGAACGGAAUUCCCAGUGUAGCGGUGAAAUGCGCAGAUAUUGGGAAGAACACCAGUGGCGAAGGGCGGUU
rnacentral:rRNA from 1 species